AAGUCGAACGAACCUUCGGGUUAGUGGCGGACGGGUGAGUAACGCGUGGGAAUCUGCCCUCAGGAGGGGGAUAACGGUUGGAAACGACCGCUAAUACCCCAUAUGCCGAGAGGUGAAAUGAAUUUCGCCUGAGGAUGAGCCCGCGUCUGAUUAGCUUGUUGGUGAGGUAAUGGCUCACCAAGGCUUCGAUCAGUAGCUGGUCUGAGAGGAUGAUCAGCCACACUGGGACUGAGACACGGCCCAGACUCCUACGGGAGGCAGCAGUGGGGAAUUUUCCGCAAUGGGCGAAAGCCUGACGGAGCAACGCCGCGUGAGGGACGAAGGCCUCUGGGCUGUAAACCUCUUUUCUCAAGGAAGAAGAUAUGACGGUACUUGAGGAAUAAGCCACGGCUAAUUCCGUGCCAGCAGCCGCGGUAAUACGGGAGUGGCAAGCGUUAUCCGGAAUUAUUGGGCGUAAAGCGUCCGCAGGCGGCCUUUCAAGUCUGCUGUUAAAGCGUGGAGCUUAACUCCAUCAUGGCAGUGGAAACUGAUAGGC
rnacentral:rRNA from 1 species